rnacentral:rRNA from 1 species
UCCAUUCUUCAACACCUGUGCACACUUUGUAGUUGACUCUUUUGUUUAUCUGUUCAUCUCUCUCUUGACUCCGGUCUCUGUGAAGGGGUGCGUGGCUUUUCGAAAGCAAGGUCCUCUAUGUUAUUAUUAUACACCCUUUACAAAAAACAAGUCCAUAGAACGUCCAAUGUAGGCGCAGCGUAAAACACUGUUUGCUGAAAUUAUAAAACUUAUACAACUUUUAACAACGGAUCUCUUGGCUCUCGCAUCGAUGAAGAACGCAGCGAAAUGCGAUAAGUAAUGUGAAUUGCAGAAUUCAGUGAAUCAUCGAAUCUUUGAACGCACCUUGCGCUCCCUGGUAUUCCGGGGAGCAUGCCUGUUUGAGUGUCAUUAAAUUCUCAACCACACUAUGUUUUUAUUAACGUAGUUCUUGUGGCUUGGAUCCUUGGAGUUUGUGCCGGUAAACCUUUAGUUAGGUUGUUGGCUCCUCUUUAAAUGCAUUAGCUGGAACCUCUUUGUGGUGCCAGACUAUGGUGUGAUAAUUAUCUACGCUGUGGUUUGUUGCGCUGCGAAUUUAACUAUGGGGUUCUGCUUCUAAUCGUCCCUUUCAAAGGACAGUAUAGAGUGUGGUGGUGGGGUUGCUUUCAAGGGGUUCGCCUCUUUGUGUUA